rnacentral:rRNA from 1 species
CUGACAAGAAAAGCCUCUAGUGAGCUAAAUAGUGUCCGUACUCUAAACCGACGCAGGUGGGUGGGAUGAAAAUUCUAAGGCGUUGAGUGAAACCUCGUUAAGGAACUCGGCAACUUAACACCGUAACUUCGGGAGAAGGUGUGCCCUCUCGGGUCAUGGGCCUUGCGUCCGCAGCCUGGGAGGGUCGCAGAGAAGUGGCCGCAGCGACUGUUUACUAAAAACACAGGACUCUGCUAAAUCGCAAGAUGACGUAUAGGGUCUGAUGCCUGCCCGGUGCCGGAAGGUUAAGGGGAAGUGUUAUUCAACUCGUUGGAGAAGCACCGGACCGAAGCCCCGGUAAACGGCGGCCGUAACAAUAACGGUCCUAAGGUAGCGAAAUUCCUUGUCGGGUAAGUUCCGACCUGCACGAAUGGCAUAACGAUUGCGGCGGUGUCUCAACGAGGGGCUCAGUGAAAUUGCAGUGCCAGUGAAGAUACUGGCAACCCGCGGAAGGACGGAAAGACCCCGUGCACCUUUACUACAACUUGACAUUGUAUUCUGGGUAGGUCUGUGUAGGACAGGUGGGAGGCUGUGAAGCCGGGACGCUAGUUUCGGUGGAGCCAACCUUGAAAUACCACCCUGAUCUGCUUGGGCUACUAACCCGCACCCGUAAUCCGGGUGGGGGACAGUGUCUGGUGGGUAGUUUGACUGGGGCGGUCGCCUCCUAAAGAGUAACGGAGGCGCGCGAAGGUUCCCUCAGGCUGAUCGGAAACCAGCCGGCGAGUGCAAAGGCAUAAGGGAGCUUGACUGCGAGACAGACAUGUCGAGCAGGUGCGACAGCAGGUCUUAGUGAUCCGGUGGCGCCGAAUGGAAGGGCCAUCGCUCAACGGAUAAAAGGUACGCCGGGGAUAACAGGCUGAUCUCCCCCAAGAGUUCACAUCGACGGGGAGGUUUGGCACCUCGAUGUCGGCUCAUCGCAUCCUGGGGCUGGAGCAGGUCCCAAGGGUAUGGCUGUUCGCCAUUUAAAGCGGUACGCGAGCUGGGUUUAGAACGUCGUGAGACAGUUCGGUCCCUAUCCUCCGUGGGCGGAGGAGAUUUGAGGGAAGCUGCCCCUAGUACGAGAGGACCGGGGUGGACGGACCAAUGGUGCUCCUGUUGUCGCGCCAGCGGCAUAGCAGGGUAGCUAAGUCCGGAACGGAUAACCGCUGAAAGCAUCUAAGUGGGAAGCCGCUCCCAAGAUAAGAUCUCCCUUCGUUCUCGUAACGACUGAAGGCCACACGUAGACUACGUGUUUGAUAGGCUGGGUGUGUAAGCGCAGUAAUGUGUUGAGCUAACCAGUACUAAUCGGCCGUGAGGCUUGACCC